UGGGGAAUAUUGGACAAUGGGCGCAAGCCUGAUCCAGCAAUGCCGCGUGUGUGAAGAAGGCCUGCGGGUUGUAAAGCACUUUCAGUGGGGAAGAAAAGCCUCUGGUGAAUAGCCGGGGGUUUUGACGUUACUCACAGAAGAAGCACCGGCUAACUCCGUGCCAGCAGCCGCGGUAAUACGGAGGGUGCGAGCGUUAAUCGGAAUCACUGGGCGUAAAGCGCACGUAGGCGGCCGAGUCAGUCUGCUGUGAAAUCCCCGGGCUCAACCUGGGAACGGCAGUGGAUACUGCUUGGCUAGAGUUUGAAAGAGGGGGGUGGAAUUCCAGGUGUAGCGGUGAAAUGCGUAGAGAUCUGGAGGAACACCAGUGGCGAAGGCGGCCCCCUGGUUCAAAACUGACGCUGAGGUGCGAAAGCGUGGGGAGCAAACA
rnacentral:rRNA from 1 species